AUUGAACGCUGGCGGCAGGCCUAACACAUGCAAGUCGAGCGGGGUUUUCGAACCUAGCGGCGGACGGGUGAGUAAUGCGUAGGAAGCUACCCGAUAGAGGGGGAUACCAGUUGGAAACGACUGUUAAUACCGCAUAAUGUCUACGGACCAAAGUGUGGGACCUUCGGGCCACAUGCUAUCGGAUGCGCCUACGUGGGAUUAGCUAGUUGGUGAGGUAAUGGCUCACCAAGGCGACGAUCCCUAGCUGGUUUGAGAGGAUGAUCAGCCACACUGGAACUGAGACACGGUCCAAGCUCCUACGGGAGGCAGCAGUGGGGAAUAUUGGACAAUGGGCGCAAGCCUGAUCCAGCCAUGCCGCGUGUGUGAAGAAGGCCUUCGGGUUGUAAAGCACUUUCAGUAGGGAGGAAGCGUUGUGUGUUAAUAGUACACAGCGUUGACGUUACCUACAGAAGAAGCACCGGCUAACUCUGUGCCAGCCGCCGCCGUAAUAC
rnacentral:rRNA from 1 species